rnacentral:lncRNA from 1 species
GUUUGAGCGCGGCUUUGGAAAGUCAGAACUCCUCAGCGCUUACCUCACUUUAGCAAGGGCUAAGAGCUACUUCUUCAAGGACUCCCCUGAAGAAAUGUGACUUCCAUGGGACUGCUCACUGACUCCCAGGAGUGCUUCACACAGCAAGAUGUCCAGCAGCUGUAGGAUGAAACCCUUGAAACUGAAUAUCCUGGUGAGCUGGUGAAGUUCCAGACCUGAUGCUUUCAGUGUCUUCUCUGUUCUCUGUGGGUGUCUCUGGGGAAGACUUCUCUGCAAGAAGAUGCAGGCAUGCUGAAGACUUCUGAAAAGUGAGCAAUGAGUCCUUCUGAAAGCUGAAG